UACGUAGGGCGCAAGCGUUAUCCGGAAUUAUUGGGCGUAAAGAGCUCGUAGGCGGUUUGUCGCGUCUGCCGUGAAAGUCCGGGGCUCAACUCCGGAUCUGCGGUGGGUACGGGCAGACUAGAGUGAUGUAGGGGAGACUGGAAUUCCUGGUGUAGCGGUGAAAUGCGCAGAUAUCAGGAGGAACACCUGAGGCGAAGGCGGGUUGCUAGGCUGACACUGACGCUGAUGCGCGAAAGCCAGGGGAGCAAACGGG
rnacentral:rRNA from 1 species